rnacentral:lncRNA from 1 species
UAGCACCAGUGAGGAAGACAACAGGCCUGAGGCUCCUUUUCACUUAUCGACGUCUCCUGAAUAUUACUAUUUUGAUCAUCCGUUCAGGGCUGCUGCUCAUCACAGGGAGAUAUAUUCUUCUCUUUUGAGUAAUGCUCAAAAGAUGGUCCCUAUUGGACCAGAUUUCCAGGCAGAGCUACCAGAAUGGACACCAUAUAGUAAUAAGGAUAAACCGUGCAUAGAGGGUAUACAUGAAACUCUGAGUCCUCCAUCUCAAGCCGAUGAAAAUAAACUUACUGGAAGGACUAUUAUUCCAAUGCCUAAAUUGGAGCUACUUGCAGAUCAGGUUGAGAAUAUUGGAGAGAGAAGAGUUGAAUGUUCCUGUAAAGAUAUAGGUUCCAUUAGAUGUGUUCAGCUAGACAUCAUCAAAGCAAGGGAAAAACUAAAGCUAGCCCUUGGCGAGGAGAAAUUUGUUAGGUUGGGUUUUUGUGACACAGGAGAGGUAGUGGCAGAAAAAUGGAGUGAAGAGGAAGAGGAACUAUUUCAUGAGGUUGUAUUGUCCAAUCUUGCAUCGCUAGGCAAUAAUUUCUGGAACCAUCUUGCAAUUGAGUUUCCUUCACGGAGGAGGGAAGAACUUGUCAGCUAUUAUUUUAAUGUCUUUAUUGUGCGAAAACGUGCUGAGCAGAACAGAUUUGAUCCACUGAACAUAGACAGUGAUAAUGAUGAGUGGCAUGACGCAGUUGAUGAUGCUGAUGAGGUAGCUAAAAUGACGGAUGAAGAUGAGGAUUCCGUGGUUGAAUCUCCAGCAUAUCAUAAUGGUUUCAGCUGCAAUAUGAUCCAUGAGGAGCAUGAUAGACGAACAUAUGAUGAGGAUGUGGGUGAAGCAAUAUGGGAAGAUUAUAAGCCUGUAAUUUUUGGUAGCCGGAAGGUCUUCACGGAUGUGCAUGAAUCAUGUCCUGGUAAGUUUGAUAAUAACAGCAUUUAUAAACUUGGUACGCAGCCUCAAGACCAAGGACUAUCAGAUAAAGUGAUUGAGCAAGAAGUGCAAGGUGGCUCCUGUACCACUGGUGCAGCUGGGGUUAAUUCAGAAUCAUCACUAAGGAAGACCAACAAUGAUAAACAUUGGGCAAGCGAUAUUGCUGGUAUGGGCAGUUGCACCAAGCAUGAUAGUCUGUUGGAGUCAUGUAAUGGCAAAGAAUGGGAUGGUGGGUACUUGAGCUGUGCCAGAAAUGAAGUUGAUUUGGUACCAACCCACACUAUGAUUGAAGAAGUCUUUGGUGACGGAGCUUGGAUAUACAAGAGCCGAGAUGGUUAGGGGUUAAGCUAUAGUCUAACUCUAGUUUCUCUUUCAACAAAAAGAAAAAAAAUGGUGUUCGAUUCUUUUAUUCAGGGAUUUAGCUAAGUUUUGACACAUUCACAUUCAUGCUGUAGAUGCUGGGCUAUGUGAUGGAAUCAAUCUGGUAAUGUUCCAGUUUUCCUUGUAUAUUCAUAAUGGUGGAAGUAUUUUUUUUAUUUUUUUUAAACCCCAAAUGUAAGAAAUGGCAUUACAAAGGUGUUACAUGAGCUGAUGGAUGCUAUACUUUUGGAGCUGUACAGUAGCCAUUAUUUUGUUGACUUAAAACCAGAUUCCUAGGUAGCUUUCGACUGACAGACAGUAGGUUCUUAGAAUAAUAUUUGUAAUGUUAAGCUAUAUGGUCAAUUGAGCCAUAUUUCAAAAAAGGAGGAUGUAGAUCCUUUUAAAUUAUUGAAGUUUAGUUCUGCACAGAAUAUUCCUUGCACACCAUCCUCUUUCUAUACUUUUUUGUUCUCACUUCUUUGUGAGGACGUUGAUUUGCCGACUACCUGCUAUCUUUUACUGUACUACAUAUGUAUUGUAUACUGAAUAUUGCCUUCUAUUCAAUGACUAGACAAAAAGUGAGGAGAAGAAAAUCGUAUAGGUGAAGUUUCGAUUAUCAGAGAUUCUUUUUAUUCUGUUAUAUGCCUUUUAAAUGUCACAUUUGUGUCCGUCUCAAUUUUAAUAGUAAAAAGUAGUCUUUUCAUUCAUUUUUACUUGUGCAGUGUUGCCUUGACACACUUCUUAAUAGGGGUAUGCAUAGAUUUCAAUUUUAUAUAUUAUCGGUUUUGAUUUUUCAAUAUGCUAAAUUAAUGACCAAACCAAUAACAAGUCUUUUAUCAGUUUUGAUUUCUUGAUUUUUGGUUCUUAACUGUUUGAUUUUUUAUUUAUCAAUAAGAAAAUGCUGAUAAAAUUAAUUUAUGACUUCUCCAAUAAUUUGACACAACAAGACAAUAAUAUAACUUGGGAAAAGGGUCAAAAAUACCCCUCAACUUUGGUUUAUUGUUUGACUUUAUCCUUGUCGUUAAAAUGAAGUUAAUUUUACCCCUCCCGUUACUAAUUUCACCAUAUUUACCCCUCAUUUGACGGAAUGCCCAAAAUUAACCCAAAUUACCUGAAUUUAAAAAAAAAAAAAACCAUUCCCUAUUUUUAACCCAAUGCCCUGACCCCUCUAGAGGAUAACCCGGUUAACCUGCAUAACCCCUCAGCUUCCUCCUCAAUGCAGCCAUGGGUGCAACCAGAGAAUGCCAACAUAUAUCCAUCUCAUAUCUUAGAUGCAAUGCUACAAAUGGCUCUCUCCCCUAAAGCAUUCGUACCAAUUUUUCUCCCAAAGCCUCAAUAUCUGGAGUGAAUUUCAAUGCCUGAAAAUUCACACGAUAUCUGAAUUUUUGAAGCUCAAGAGGAAUCCCAUUGUUUGCUAGCCUAGUAUCUGUUCUGUUGAAAUGUAUUACUUGAUGCUUGCUGAAGAGAGGCAUAAUCUGCAUUAGUAAUCCGAAUGUGUUAAUACAUAUCGGUAAAAAGGCAAAUAAAUGAGUUAGAUAUUUGGAGACAAAUCCUAACUCGUAAUCAACAACUAAAUGUUAUAGAAAGACAAUAAGAUUUGUUCAAUUCGAUAUCUUAACAACCAUAAGUACAAAUUCUGAUGGAGAAAAGGGGUUAUCUUUUCUUCAACUCAUCGUUCUUCGACUUAGCUUCUAAUGGAGAAAAAGAAAUUAUCUUUUCAAAGAGAGAUUGGGUAAAUGGGAAUGGGUAACAGCCUAACAGGGCAUUGGGUUAUACGGGUCCUCUAAAGGGAUCGAGGCAUUGGGUUAAAAAUAGAGAAUGGUUUUUUUUUAAAAAACGGGUAAUUUGGGUCAAUUUUGGACUUUCCGUCAAAUGAGGGGUAAAUAUGGUAAAAUUAGUAACGGGAGGGGUAAAAUUAACUUCAUUUUAACGGCAAGGAUAAAGUCAAACAGUAAACCAAAGUUGAGGGGUAUUUUGAUCCUUUUCUCAUAUAACUUUACAUAAUGCUCAUAAAAUAAAACAUAAGUAACUAACCUGAAAUGAAAUAUACAAGUGCAACACAAAUAAAAGAACUAGGACAAUAAUAUAAAUGUAAGGUUUAAGGGCAAAUGAAAUAAACACAAAUAAAAGAACUAGGACAAUAACGCAAAUGAAAGGUUAAAGGAUAAAUGUAAUGACCAGUAAUGUACUGAUAUUAAUAUUUGAUAUUUUUAAAAAGGGUAAAGGAAUAAAUUACUACACUAAAUGGGUUAUCAGUUUUACACUUUAUCCAAUAUUAAGAAAAUUAAAAACCAAACUGUUAAUCUGAUAAUUUUUUUGUAAAAUCAUUAAAGAUUCGUCAACACAAUAACAUUUUUUUCUUUUGUUUGAUUAUUAAUCGGUUCAAUUUUUGCACAUCCUUACCUCUUAAGGGGCAAUAAAUUAGAAACUAAAUUAUAAUAAAUUAAUUAUUAAUUUUCUAAACUGAAACGUGAUAAAAUUUUACACGAGUAAGGAUAAGUAAUCAUCUUUCAUCAUAUCCUUUUCCAAUAAAAUAACCAUAAUUUUUUUUUUAUUCGAGCACGUGAUAUUCAAUAUAUAUCACCACGUGAAUGACUAUAUAAUUUCUAAACCAAUUAGGCUAACAAAUUACAUUUGGCGCAGCUUUUUUUUGGACUUCCCCGCGUUACUAAUUUCGGACCCGCCCGAUAACAGAAUUCCGCAACCCACUAGGGCUCUACCUUCACCUUUUUAUCUUCAACGACUUUCCCCCCAAUUAUAUUCCAUCUUCUUCUUCCCCACAAAUUGACCUCGAUUUCUCAUCUGAAACUUCAAAUCAAUCUCCGAUUUUUCUAAUUCGUUCCCUCCUCUUUCUUUUGAUACCUCUUUCGGCUAUAUCCGUUAGGUAAAUCCAAUUUCGAUUUUAGGGUUUAGAUCUCUUCUGUAUCUUCUAGAUCUGUUCGAUUCAUCGCGUUUUUUUGUGAAAUUCACCGGUUGUUUUAUCUUUAUGUUGUUUUUGUUUCCUUGGUUUCUCUGUUUUUUGUAAAAGAAAACUGGGUUGAUCUUUCGAUAUAAUUAGUUUGUAAAUUUGGGGUUUCUUGUUUAAUUCGUUUUCUUUCGCCUUCAAUUUGAUUUCUUUGAACCAAUUUUGAGUUGAAUUUGAUUAUUCUAUUUUUGAUUGAAGAGUUGAAUCUGAUUUGGGGAUCUAGGGUUAGGGUUUUCAAUAAAAUUUGCAAUUUAUAUUUUUUACCCCUCAAUUUUCCAAAAAGAUAAAAUUCUUUUUCCCGAAUUUGUAUCCCCGUCCUCGAAUUGUUCAAAUUGAAUUAUUCGCUACCCCAAUUUUGACGAAGACAGAUAACAGAGUCCCGUUCAAGGUUCCCUAAUUUGUCAAUUUUGUUGUUACAUGUAAUUAGUCAAACUUAUGGGUCUCUUUUUCAGUUUUUUUUUUCUUUAGGGCCACACUACUAUAAUAAUAAAACUAAUUUCAGUGGCAUCAUUAUCCACUGCCACGUGUCACUAAUUAGGAACUAGAACCUUAAUUAGCUUCAUGAUUACUGUAUACAGUUAUGUAGUUAGCCUCUUUUGCCAGGUUUAUAUGCUGUUAAUAUAGUCUUGUAUUUAUAUGUUGUGAUGAGAUGGCCAGACGUGUAUGUUAAUAUUUCAAUUUUCAUGUAAGGGGUUGUCGUGUUGUUCCGAGUCAAUAUCAUUUAGUGCAUAUAACUGUUCAUAGUCGAAUAGGGGCGCAUCUGGCUGCUAUGCUUGGCAUGCUAUCAUUAAGCUCAGUUGUGAGUGUAUAUCUAAAUGCAUGUAUGAAAAACAUUGUGUUGGUUUUUCUAUUUAUUGAGAGUUGAUGUGAUGUUUAUGUUAAUGUAUUUCUUUUCAGCUAGACAAUACAGUUAUACUUGAUUUAAAAAUAUUCUUCUGAGAUUUUAGAGCUGUGGGUUGAAAUGCUGUCUUUACCCUUUUUCUGUGUUUGAUUCAGUGGGAUUCCUCCUGUGCCUUUUAUCUUUGAACUUAUUUCCUUUUUUGUUUAAGUAUCUCAUAUUUUUAAGUUCCUUGCAGCUAAUUAUGGUGCAAAAAAGACCUUACGGUGAAGAGGAUUUGUAUGAGGUUUCAUCUAAGCAACCAAGGCAUGAACCCAGUUGUCAGCUAGUUUCAGUUUUGGAACUUUCUCGUGAAUCAGUAGUUGUGGAUGCUUAUGCUUCAGGUAACAACAAAUUAUUUUGUUAGCUCUGAGAUAUUCUUCGCACUGUUUUUACUGCUUUAUGUACCAUUGUUAAAAAUGCUUCAAGUCAUUGGUGGAGUGCAGUGCGCUGUAAGACCUGCCAAGUAUUUUUAACUUUGGAGUGGUUUCCUUGACACCUUACUUUAUGGGCUUGCUCUUGUAAGAGUAGAUUUUGGAUCUUAAAUGAAUAUUAUUUUUGCUCCAUACUCUGAUCGACUGUCUGUUAUCUAUGGAUUUUGUAGGUGGUGAUGAGGACAACUCUUCGAAAAUCUUCCCUGAUGCAAACAAGAAAUUUGAUAGUCACGUUGUGGCUGAAGUUCUUUUUUCUUCUGAGAUGGGCAUUCAUGGAUCUGCUUCAAACUCUUCCUGGCCCACCAGUAGCACCAGUGAGGAAGACAUCAGGCCUGAGGCUCCUUUUCACAGAUUGACGUCUCCUGAAUAUUACUAUUUUGAUCAUCCGUUCAGGGCUGCUGCUCAUCACAGGGAGAUAUAUUCUUCUCUUUUGAGUAAUCCUCAAAAGAUGGUACCCAUUGGACCAGAUUUCCAGGCAGAGCUACCAGAAUGGACACCAUAUAGUAAUAAGGAUAAACCAUGC